rnacentral:lncRNA from 1 species
UUUUUUCUUUUUCUUUCUUUCUUUUUUUUUUCCAAUAAUGCUUUCUACUGUGCUUUCAAGACUGAAAAAAAAAUCACUCGUAGAUGGUGAUAACUCAAUAACAUAGCGCGUCAAUUUAAAUAGAAAUCUACAAAAAUUGUCUGACACCUGGUUCUGAUUACCUGUGAUUUGGAGAAAUUCAUGUCAUAACAAUGGAUAGCCACGUGUGCACUGGAGUAAUUUUUGAUGUAUUUCAUAUGAAAAGUAAACAUGCCUUUGAAUUUUUACAAUGAUGCAGCCAGUUUUUGCUCAAGUCUGUAAGAUAGGGAGCUGGGGGCUGGAUGAGGGCUGUGUCAGAGGGGGACAAUGAUUGGCAUAUUUUCCUGUAGUGCUUUGCGUGACUCCUGGUUGGAGAGCCCAACAGACAGGACACUCAAAGAUUUCCCUGCUCCCUUCCUUCCCUCGUGUGCCUCCAACACCACGCUUGAGAAACAGCAGCAGGGAAACGGAUGCACAUGUAGGUGAUGGCACCACGUCCUGGCAGCCACACAUACCAGCUAUGUCGUCCUUGGGCAAAUCACCAGCCUCUCUGUGCUUUCAUCACUUCAUCAGUAAAGUAAUGGUAAUAGUGACGAGGUUCAAAUGAGAUGUAGGUAAUGUCUUGAGAGAAAAGCUUGAUAUCCGGACGUACUCCAUAAACGUCAGCUAGUAUUACUGUCACACGUAACACACUGGAUUGGCAUCACCCAUUUCCUCCCAUUCUAUGAGUUCUUGGAGGACAGAGACCACAGCUUCGUCUUCUCUGUAUCCACAGGUCUGACCAUACAACAUUCCAUUAAGGUGUUUGAACUGAAGACGGAGAAUCGAAUGGGAAAAUCAUUCGUGAGAGAGAGCAAAGAGAUGGCAACCAAGCUAAAGGACAGAGAUGAACAACUUCCGCUUUGGGGUGGAGGGUACUAAGAUCUGUGUGCUACUUCAGAGUCAACUCUGUACCCAACAUAUUUUCAUCUCGAUGCAUUUAACAAAUUAUUCCUCAAAGUGCCUUUGGGUAGGCUACUGUCAGAAUCUGCACCUAGAGUUUGUUUCCUCUGCUGCAAAAUAGACCUGAAUGCUACAGAAGCAAACCAAUUUUUUAAAAACCUUAUCGUAAGGUGCUAGAAAUGUUUUGGUCUCGAUGUUGGAUGUAUAUUACAUAUCUGUAAUUUUCUAAUUUGCAACUUUACUACAUAUAUAUAUAUAUAUGUUAUGCCUUAAAACAAACUUUUAAAAAGCCCAUCGGUAGCAAUCCCACCUGAUACUUGUUUACAAGAUCACCACUGCUACCCUGAGUGUCCUUCCCUUGGUACCUCGGAACCUACUGCUCCCAAAGGCAUCCUGUGUAUACACAGCAUAUAAUCAUGGGAAAUCUCCUAGAACUCACUUUGAAUAGACAAGCCCUCAGGGCUUCAAUACACCGGAGCUUUUUGUUACAAGCACCCAAAAUUAAUGUUCAUGUCAUCUAUCCACCAGAGGGAGCCAGCACAGCCGGAAUAAUAACAUACUGACCUUAGCAAACCACCAAUCAAGCUUUUCAGACAAGGACUGCAGAGUUUCAAUACAUGCAAGUAUGAAUUUCUUAGUUCCUAGGAAAGCAUGUGAAAUUUUACUGAAGUUGGAUUUCAUUCAUGGCUUUAUUUCUCUCCUCAGAUGUAGACAUCUAAUAAUAAGAGGCAAUUAACUUUGGAGGCAUUAACGUUAAUAAAUGCCUAUUAAGGAUAAGGGUGUGUGAGUGUCAGGAUAGCUCAUCUUUGAAAAACACGUUAUGGAUUAUGAAGAAUCUUCAGAAAUGAGAAAUGAGUUUUGACAAUUUUUCUUCUUAAUACAGGAAUUUAUAGUUUGCGCCUCUUGGAGAUGAAAAAGCAGUUUCCAUUGCAUUGAUGUUGGGCUAUCAUUAGCAUAUAUGCAAAUUAGACCUGUGAGGUCCAGGGCAUGGUUUUUCCAGCAGAGCAUGGGAUAGAUUUCAGGGCCCACACACCCUACCAGACAGCUCUGUACUGGGACAGGUACAUGGGCACAUUUGCAGUCUCAGGUCUGGGCAAUGGUGGCCCUAGAUGAUGCUUUGAUAAGGACAAUGAUGUUUUCCUAAUAUCAUGUAAAAUGCAGUUCCAAGACAAGUGGCAACUGCCCCCUUCCAAUCAAAUGCUGACCUUGAGUUCUUGCUAUAAAGGAAUUCUGGAUUCACUACUGGGCUAUGGAAAUGAACAUUUUCCAUCCUGUUCUCCUUGGCUGCAACCUGCCCUGCUGGACAGGUCUUGCUCAUAUUUUCCAAUUUGUCUUUUUCUUUAUAAUUUCCAUUUCCUGAUCUCUCCUCAUCUUCUUAUUUUUGUAGCCAUGAAUUUUUCUCGUUGGUUGAAAAUUUUUGUAGGAGGAAACUGAAACCAGGCAUUCCGUUAAACAUCUUAUAUGCGAUCAUUCCUGACUUAGCUUAUUUGACCUGACAACAGCUCUUAACUCUGUUGAUCACUCUAUUCUUAGAGAACAAUCUCUCAUUUGGCUUCCAGGACAUAGCUCUUCAGCUUCUCCUCCUUCCACGCUGGCUGUUCUUUCUCAGCCCCUGCAUGGAUUACUCCUCAUAUUCCUGAUUUCUAAGGGUUGACAUUCACGAAUCAUUCUUUCCUCUGCUCUGUCUACACCACUGCCUAAGUGAUCUUACCUGGCCUACAGUGUUACACACCAUUCAUCAUGAACAACUCCCAAGUUCUAUCACCCCAGCCUCUGCCCUGAACUUCACACUCCUAUUCAGUUGCCUACUCAACAUCUCUAUCUGGAUGUUUAAAGGCAUCUUGAAUUGACAUGCCCCAAAGCAAACCCUUAAUUUUCUCCCCUUACUAUGUGCUUCUCUCACAGUCUUUCUUCCUGAACAAAUGAUACCUCCUUUUUUGCUUUUUUGGUUGCUUAUGCCAAAAACCUUGGAGUGAUUCUUGGUUCAUCUCUUUCUCUCACUCCUCACACCAGCAAAUGCUGUUGGUUCCCAGUUUGAAAUAUGUCCAACACUGGACUACUUUAUUACCACCUCCACAGCUAUUGCUCAGGUCUAAAUCAGCACCACCUCUUGGCCUGGAUUAUCACAACAGUCUUCUAAUUCACUUCCCUGGUUCUGCCCUUCUUCCCCUCCCCAACAUUCUUUACUAUGAUCAGAGUGAUUCUAAGUGAACCUAAGAGAGAUCGUGUCUCCUCUAGGUCAUAAUGUGUCUCACUUCAGAGAGUGAAACCCAAGAAACUUGAAGACUGUACAUGGUCAAUGAACCUUGGGUCACAGAUCCCAAAGCUCUACAUGGAUAGCCCCCUGCUGUAUUUUUGGUUAUUGCUCAAGCCUCACUGUGCUUUGUGCACCUUCUUUGAAUAUGUCAAACCUGCUUCCAUCUCCAGGUCUUGGUACUUGCUGGUCUGUCAGGAAUGCUCUUCCUUCAGAUGUUCCCUCAACUCUAGUAUCUGCUCAAAUAUCAUCUUAACAGAUAGGUCUUCUCUAACACACUAUAUUAAAUAAUACCACACUCCUAUCAUUCUCUAUCUCCCUUACCUUGCAUUAUUUUCUUUCCUAGCACUUCCUAACACCUCUCUUCAUUGUAUGGAUAUGUGUCUGGGUAUAUGUAUUUGUACAUACAAGCAGUAUAUACAUUUGUAUAUGUAUAUGUGUGUGUGUUUGAUCACUGUCUUCCCACCAAGAAUAUAAGCUCUAUGAUAGAAAGUAUUUUGUUUCAUUCAUUGCUAUAUCUGCCAGUGCCUAGGAAAAUGCUUAGCACAUAGUAAGUGUUCAAUAAAUAUUUGUUGAGGGUGCCUCGGUGGCUCAGUGGUUGAGCACCUGCCUUUGGCUCAGGGUAUGAUCCUGGGGUCCUGGGAUCGAGUCCCACAUCCGGCCCCCUAUAUGGAGCCUGCUUCUCCUUCUGCCUAUGUCUCUGCCUCUCUGUGUGUGUCUCAUGAAUGAAUAAAUAAAUAAAAUCUUCAAAAUAAAUAAAUAAAUAAAUAAAAAAUAAAUAUUUAUUGAAUGAAUGUUGAAUAAAUCUAGGCAGUUUUUAUUCUGACUGAAAGUUACAUACAAUAUAUAAAAUAAAAUGUGUUAAAAUUUCCUUAAAUUUUCCUGGGUUGCCCAAGCAGGAUUGGGCAUCACCAAAGGCAUUUAAAGAGAUGCAGUAUUUACCCUUGAAGUACAACGAGUCCACAUAACGUUUGAUGAAUAUUGGAGUGAAAUCUGCCAUCUUUAUGCUGCAUGAGUAGAUCGUCUAAAGGCAAUUGGGCAAAACAGAAGCUGUUAACUAACAUUACUUGACCCUUUUUGGCCUUGUGUUGAAUCACAAAGCAUUAUAUUUAUUACACGUUUGUUUCUUUUAACCACGUGCCAUCAAAUUCUAUGUAAUCAGGAUUUGCAUACAUGUUAUACGCUCACCUAAAAUGCAUGUAUUAUGAAUGUCAUGGUACAUUAUUGCAGAUGCUGAAGAAUCCAGGCUGAUGUUUUCUGAGGGAAUAUCCAUCAGUGAAGUCAGGAAUUGUUUCUAUUUAUCACUCAACCGCCAAAACCAGUUGUUAUAUGUAAAAAUUUCUUGAUGUGAGCUGUUAGCAUAUUCAAGUAUGUUUGAAAUUGAAUAUCUGAUCUAAAUGACAUAUAUUUUAAAUAUACUUGUGAAAGCCAAAAGACAAACUCAUUUAAAACAGGGUAUAAUUAACGAAAAGCUUCUAUUAAAAAAAAAAAAAGGCCCACACUAAUAGCUAGUCUGAUUUAUAGUAGCCUAAAGAAAAACACAAAUCUAAAAUCUCCUAAUAUUUCCUUUCUUAUGUAUUUUAGUGUUUGAUCUUUAUCUUUGAAAUGAACAUGUAGAGGUAAAAAUACAGUAUGAAUCAGAUAGGAUAUUUUAAUGCUUAUGCAUUUUAAAGGCCACGCACCAGUGUGGUUGGAAUGGGCUUUAGACCUGGACUCCCCGAGUAUGAAUCCUGGCUCAGCUACUUCCUGACUGUGGGUCUUGGGCAAAUGAUCUUGUCCACACGUUUCCGCUUCCUUAUAGGGUUGUUGUGAGGAAUAAUGAGAUGCCUCCUGGUAAAACUCUUAGACUGUCACUGAGUAUAAUCGCUCAAUAAAUACUAGCUAUUAUUAUCAACUAU